rnacentral:rRNA from 1 species
AUUGAACGCUGGCGGCAUGCUUUACACAUGCAAGUCGAACGGUAACAGGCCGCAAGGUGCUGACGAGUGGCGAACGGGUGAGUAAUGCAUCGGAACGUGCCCAGUCGUGGGGGAUAACGCAGCGAAAGUUGCGCUAAUACCGCAUACGAUCUAUGGAUGAAAGCGGGGGACCGUAAGGCCUCGCGCGAUUGGAGCGGCCGAUGUCAGAUUAGGUAGUUGGUGGGGUAAAGGCUCACCAAGCCGACGAUCUGUAGCUGGUCUGAGAGGACGACCAGCCACACUGGUACUGAGACACGGCCCAGACUCCUACGGGAGGCAGCAGUGGGGAAUUUUGGACAAUGGGCGCAAGCCUGAUCCAGCAAUGCCGCGUGCAGGAAGAAGGCCUUCGGGUUGUAAACUGCUUUUGUACGGAACGAAACGGUCCUGGUUAAUACCCGGGGCUAAUGACGGUACCGUAAGAAUAAGCACCGGCUAACUACGUGCCAGCCGCCGCUGUAAUAC